UUGACCUCGGAUCAGGCAGGGAUACCCGCUGAACUUAAGCAUAUCAAUAAGCGGAGGAAAAGAAACCAACAGGGAUUGCCUCAGUAACGGCGAGUGAAGCGGCAACAGCUCAAAUUUGAAAUCUGGCUCUUUUAGGGUCCGAGUUGUAAUUUGUAGAGGAUGCUUCGGCGUCGGCUCCGGUCUAAGUUCCUUGGAACAGGACGUCAUAGAGGGUGAGAAUCCCGUAUGUGAUCGGUUGCCCUUGCCAUGUGAAGCUCCUUCGACGAGUCGAGUUGUUUGGGAAUGCAGCUCUAAAUGGGAGGUAAAUUUCUUCUAAAGCUAAAUACUGGCCAGAGACCGAUAGCGCACAAGUAGAGUGAUCGAAAGAUGAAAAGCACUUUGGAAAGAGAGUCAAAAAGUACGUGAAAU
rnacentral:rRNA from 1 species